rnacentral:rRNA from 1 species
ACUAGAUCCCCUUGAAGGGUCGUUCGAGACCAGGACGUUGAUAGGUCAGGUGUGUAAGCGCAGUAAUGCGUUCAGCUAACUGAUACUAAUUGCCCGUAAGGCUUGAUCCUAUAACA